GGUAGGGUGGCUGAGGAAAGCGUGGGGCUGUAAACCCCAACACGGAGGUGACUCCCCCUAUCA
rnacentral:tRNA from 1 species